CCGUUACUAUCGACCUAAAAACCAAAAAAAAAAAAUGCAUCUUUCUCUCCUUUCCCAUGCGAAGAAAAUGCCUAAAUCUAAACGUCAAUUCUUCAUCUCCUACUCGAUUGUUCCAACCCGACGAGAAAAUCAUUCCUACCUUUUAUCAAUCAUUCGCUUUAUAAAUCCUAAAUCGUGUUAACCAACUGAACCCUAAAUACCAUCAAAAUUAAAUCAAAACCGAAGCAAUUGUUUUGAGUUUUCUCCUGCUUCUUUCUUUUUCUUCUUCUUCUUCUUCUUCAGCAAAACCUAGAUAAUGAUUAGUCCUGUUACAAACCUAGAUGCUAAAAUUUCAUAGGGUUUUGGCUGAAUCAAUGACUUGGUGAGUAAGAUUGGUGAAUUGGUGGCUGAUCCAAAAUCACAAUGAAUACACUGAGAAACCCGACUUUUGAUUGAUGAAGUUAUCCAGUCAGGUGUAGUUCCUCGUUUUGUUCAGUUUCUUCAGGGGGAGCAAUUUCCAUAACUUCAGAACAGUUUGAGGUGGCUUUGGCUCUUAUGAACAUUGCUUCUGGAAUCUCAGAGAAUACCAAAAUGGUCAUUGGGCAGGGAGCUAUCCGAAUCUUUGUGGCACUUCUCAGUUCCCCCCAGUAAUGAUGUUCGAGAACAUGUAACUUGAGAAUAAAGACAUAAGGAGUGGAGUUUCUUUAAUAUUAUUUCUUAUUUUUAUAACUUGGCAUGAUUUUUCUAAUUUAAAGGAUGAGAUGAGGUGAAGUUACUUUCCAUGUGUAAUAAAAUGGGGCUUAAGACUAACAAUUUCUUGUAUCUUUAAAAAAAAAAUAUCUAGGUUAUGCGGGCACUUGGAAAUGUUGUCGGUCAUUCACCUAAAUGCCGAGAUCUUGUUAAAUCAAUUAAAUGAGCAUGCCAAACUUUCUAUGCUGAUAAAUUCCACCUGGACUUUAUCUAUAAUUUUGUCGGGUCAAGCCACAACCUUCCUUUGAACAGGAAUCCUGCACUCCCUGCUCUUAAGCGUCUUAUUAACUCAACUGAUGAAGAAGUACUUACAGAUGCCUGCUGGGCUGUUUCUUAUCUGACGUCACCCAUCUCCUACUGUACUCAUUCCCGCCCUCCGCACUGUUGGCAAUAUUAUUACUCGAGAUGAUCGUCAGACUCAGUGAUAUCAUUGAACUUCAAGCACUUCUCUGCCUCAUGAACAUGUUGACAUAACCAAUAAAAGAAUAUAAAGAAAGAAGCUUGCUGGACUAUCUCAAACAUUACUGCUGGAAACAAGGACAUAAAGGAUUAGCUAACUUUUUCAAACAUAAUAUAGUGUUACAUUGUUUCAGAGCUUCAAGUGGUUUAUUACGUUUUCAUCGUUCUCCACAUAACAUAUAUUAGUUUCUUUUUUUGUUAUUCAGGUGGGUGAUAUAAUUGAUUAUGGUAUGUACAUAAUUUACCACAUAUAUUCUAAGGCUAUGUCCUGGAUGCUCUUUCCGACCAACGAGGUAGAGCUAAUCUUCGACGUUAUCCAGUUCCUAUGCAGUUUGCAGGAAAGUAAAGUUUUUUCUGCUCCUUGACUUUCAUUUAUGAACAUCUUCAUUUUGAUGAACACAGUACGUUUGUUUUUUUUAGUAUUAGUGUAUCACUUUGCAUAUAUCAGUUUUUUAAAAUCAGAGCUUCUUCUGAAGCUGUGGGACAACUAAUGUGUCAUGUUUUCUAACUGUUCAUUCUCUACUGAUAUUAUAUCACUGGAUCAGGAUAUCAUGCACCUCUUGCUGGGAGGACAAGUAACUUCAUACUUAAGAGAGAUUAUAUUUCUGGAAACACAUCCAAACUCCCGGGUAGACCAAUCUGCAAGUGAAGAAAUGUUACUUAAUCCAUCUGUUAUAGUUUUAUUUUUAACCUUCAACUAUAUCAUUUGUUGGAAACUCAGCACUGAACUUGAAUUUCUGUGGUGUUAAGAUUUUCUGUGUUGCUUGAAUGUAAUAAAUUUAGACCUUGUAAUUCUUUUUUGAAUGAAUAAAUGAUGUUGUUGGAAA